rnacentral:rRNA from 1 species
AACGAACGCUGGCGGCAGGCCUAACACAUGCAAGUCGAGCGCACCCUUCGGGGUGAGCGGCGGACGGGUUAGUAACGCGUGGGAACGUGCCCAGAUCUGCGGAAUAGCCACUGGAAACGGUGAGUAAUACCGCAUACGCCCUUCGGGGAAAGAUUUAUCGGAUUUGGAUCGGCCCGCGUUAGAUUAGGUAGUUGGUGGGGUAACGGCCUACCAAGCCUACGAUCUAUAGCUGGUUUUAGAGGAUGAUCAGCAACACUGGGACUGAGACACGGCCCAGACUCCUACGGGAGGCAGCAGUGGGAAUCUUGGACAAUGGGGGCAACCCUGAUCCAGCCAUGCCGCGUGAGUGAUGAAGGCCUUAGGGCGUAAAGCUCUUUGCCUGUGAAGAUAAUGACGGUAGCAG